GACGAACGCUGGCGGCGUGCUUAACACAUGCAAGUCGAACGGUGAAGGGACCAGCUUGCUGGUUCUGGAUGAGUGGCGAACGGGUGAGUAACACGUGAGUAACCUGCCCCCUUCUUCUGGAUAACCGCAUGAAAGUGUGGCUAAUACGGGAUAUUCUGGGUCUGUCGCAUGGCGGGCCCGGGAAAGAUAUUGCUUCGGUGGGGGAUGGGCUCGCGGCCUAUCAGCUUGUUGGUGGGGUGAUGGCCUACCAAGGCGGUGACGGGUAGCCGGCCUGAGAGGGUGGACGGUCACACUGUGACUGAGACACGGCCCAGACUCCUACGGGAGGCAGCAGUGGGGAAUAUUGCACAAUGGGCGCAAGCCUGAUGCAGCGACGCCGCGUGAGGGAUGGAGGCCUUCGGGUUGUAAACCUCUUUCGCCAGUGAAGCAGGCCUGCUCCUUGUGGGUGGGUUGACGGUAGCUGGAUAAGAAGCGCCGGCUAACUACGUG
rnacentral:rRNA from 1 species